UGAGGGCGGGGAGCGGGCCGGGAACCGGGCCGGGAACCGGGCCGGGCUGAGGGCGGGGAGCGGGCCGGGAACCGGGCCGGGAACCGGGCCGGGCUGAGGGCCGCCGGGCGCGGUCGGUGCGUCGGCCCGAUCCCGGUGCCUCCUGGUGAAUUUCCGAGCUGCCCCAGGUCCGAGGGCCUGAUGUGCGGGUCAGCCGCGUUCGUGCGGCCUCUCAGACAGCAGCGAGCCUCUAGCAGUGCACAGAAUGUCUGAAAGACAGACACCCUGUUCGUUCCCCUCAAGAUUACUUUCUUAGCAAAGACCGCACUUCCACGGGCUCUUCUCGGUUCAUUUUCAGAGUAGUCGGAAGUCCCGCAGGAAAAUCCACACUGUUUCUCCCAGCAUGAGAGACCAACCUUCCGCAGAGGCACAGAAAGCUGCCCUCCAGUCCACUGUGACAUGCAGGAAAACAUCCAGAGACUCCCAAAAUUAUAUAUAUUAGCAGUUUAGACUCUUCAAGGGAAAUGAAGGCUCAGCAAAGAGAACAGAAAAUAGCCCACUGGCCUGAAACACAAUUGGAUUGGCUGAGACUGCCUGCACUGGUCUCAUCAGGGAAGUCAAAAGCUCUGUGAACACACAGUAACUACAAAUCUCUCCUUCAGCCUCCAGAGCUCUGAGCAUUUGGACACAUUAACAAGACCACACUGGAAAGGGCAGAGGAGAAAAAAGGAAAACAAAUGAGGCUCCAGUAAAAAAAACGAAGUGAGGAAAGGAGAAGCCCUGCCACUUUAUUGUUCAUCUACAUAAAUAGGAAACUGCUAAGCUGCUGGAUCUGAAGAAUUUCCAGAGUUGACUGUUGGUCCUGAGCCAGUGCCAGAGAUUCUGAACCUGUCAUCAGAGGGCAGCCUCUUCCUGGAGCCGUAAGAGUGUUGCUUACUUGGACAAACAGCCUGAAAAAGCAUCCUGUGCUUCCAUGUGUGCCUAGAUUAGAUAUAAAAAAACCCCCUCAGAAACAGCAGAAGAUUGUGUUUAACACAGGGAUUUGCAGUGUCGUCUUCAAAAACUCACAGAAUUAUUGUUUCUGUCUUGCCAGGCAACACCAGCAAUAGAGCAAGGCCUUUUUGUACUCUCCUUUAGCACUCAGAAUACUCUCAGUAGCUGGGAACUACAGAAUUGGUCUUGAAAACCAGGAGCUGGUAUCGACCCACCUACAGAAUACAAGGAAAAUACAAAGUAUUUAAUGUUAUGUUAACCCUUUUUGAGGAAAUGCAUUUGCAUAUGGCAAAGGCAGAACCUCUGGCUCCAUCUGUAGUGACAGAUUUAAUACUCUGAUGGCAGCACGUUAAAUUAAAAAAAAAAAAAGAGAGAAUGCCAAGGACGCUAGCCAUAGUGUGGGCAUUCAUUUAGUGCUGGAACUGUCCCUUUCUCUCUCAAAACUCAAACCCUCAUAGCUAUUUAGGUUUGGGUUUUGAGGAUGGUUGGUUUUGGUUUUUAUGGUGUGUUUUUUUUUUUUCCCCCUAAGCCCUCAUUAACUCCACUCACGCUGUCUUACUCUGUUUGCCAGUGCUUAAGUAGUGCUUUUUUUAAAAAGCAACCAAUUAGCACCUCAUCAGCUUCAAUUAGAGGAGACAAAAGCAGUGUAAAGAUAACUCAAUGAGAGGGGGUGGCACAACAUCAUGUAAUCACUUAAGACAGCGGUGAGCAUUCACUGUGCUGGCUCUGCCGGGCUGGGUCUAUUCACCUUUUUUUUUUUUUUUGCUUCUUUCUGGAUGCAUUUAAGACUUUUUUUUUUCUUUUUUUUUUUUUUUCCCUUUUUUUUUUUUUUUUUCUGGGAAGCCAGGCCUCCCAGGAGUCUCAGAGUCUGUCAUUCAGGGCUACCUGUUUACAGCUCAGCGACCAGAAGGACCUAAACAAUCCUAUAUUGUACGCCCAGUGCUUCCUUAAACUUAGGCCUCUACAAAGGCAUGUUUUCAGAAGCUGGGCAGAGUAAGUUAAAGGCUGGCUUUUUACUCAUUAAGUGUUCUGCUUGUACUGUCUUCUAAUUACAUGGCAGGGCAACAAUGUCUUUUUUUUUGUCAAUGGCGUUCUUUGGAGCAGUUAAUUUGGUGCCUGUACUAAAUGCCCCCAAACAUUAAUUAGUGUGGAAGGAACCCUAAUUUCCUCGGCGGCUUUCCUCUCCAUUUACUUCCCUUGUUUUCACAUAGGCUUGGAUGAGCCUCUAUAAUGAAAUUACCUCAUUAAUGCCUUUAUUCUUUCAAAGUAAUUCAUUCAAGAUCUACCAUUUAGUUUUAAUUUGAUGCUGUCAAAAGCAAAAGGUGCAUUCAUGUCUUUGAUUAGUGCAUUUUUUUCCUCUUUAGAGAGUGGACAGAUUUAAAUUAUUAAGAUGGCAAGUAGUGAGUUAUAAUUGGAUACAAGCAGCACUUCAGUGAAUAUUAAAUGCUUUCAAAGCCUGGCCUA